GACAGAGGGUGCAAACGUUGUUCGGAAUUACUGGGCGUAAAGCGAGUGUAGGCGGUCUGUAAAGUCGGGUGUGAAAGCCCCGGGCUCAACCCGGGAAGUGCACUCGAAACUCACAGGCUAGAGUAUCGGAGAGGUUGGUGGAAUUCUCGGUGUAGCGGUGAAAUUCGUAGAUAUCGAGAAGAACACCGGUGGCGAAGGCGGCCAUCUGGACGGUGACUGACGCUGAGACGCGAAAGCGUGGGGAAGCAAACAGGG
rnacentral:rRNA from 1 species